UCCCCUGAGAUGUGGGGCGUUUGCUCACCAUGGUGUUGCCGAGCCCCCACUCACAGGUAAAGCUCAUGAAAAGCAUCCGUGACUUCACUUCACGUCUCAGACCCAGAGCGCACUGGCGGGAGUGACGGCUGUCUCUCGAGCGGAACUGUGGACUCUUAGAUCCUCACAGGGCCGCCUUGUGCCCUGAGCUGACAGGGCCAGAUUUGUGCUUCGUACUGGAAAUGCCGCCUGUGCGGCCUGGCGUCCCGGCAGUGGCCUCCUCCUGAGCUCGGGGACAGAGACCUCUGCCUCUGAAGGCCCAGGCCUCACAGCCUGCAGAUGCUGCUGCCCGGAAGGGACCCAGCGUGGGGUAGCUCAGCAGGGGCAGGGCUCGGCACUGGGAGAGGAAUAAGAAGAAAUCCCUGAGGCCCAGGAGAAGGUAAAUCCCAGCGAGCUCAGCCGUGCGUCCUCUGGGACGGCUGCAUUGCCCUCACACCUGACCUCCAUGUGGGGCAAGCUCAGCCGUGCGUCCUCUGGAAUGGCUGCGUUCCCCUCACACCUGACCUCCAUGUGGGGCAAGCUCAGCCGUGCGUCCUCUGGGACGGCUGCAUUCCCCUCACACCUGACCUCCAUGUGGGCUUUCAUAGCUGGUUCACGGCUUUCUACGGCUUUUCCAAAUGUUCCAGCCUUUUCUGCCAUGUCUGUGCAAGAAAUCAGCCUAUACUGAAGUCAUUGCUGUUAAGAGAAUAAAAUAAAUACAAAA